rnacentral:lncRNA from 1 species
CUCUUUUGCAUAGCAUUUGUAGACAUGAAGUCCCUUUGUGCUAUCUUAGCUCUUUUCUCUCUUCUUUUGGUAAGUAUUUGUAUAAUACCCUUCUUCCUAUUGUUGCUUAUGAAGUCACCAAUUUUUAAAGCCAAGAAGUUGCUAGAUAUAUAGGACAGACAAGACAAAUGCAGCCAAAAAUCUUAUAUUAUGCUUGCAUGAAAAUAUUCUCUUAUCAGACUCUAACUUUUAUUGCCAUACUGUAAACUUAGACCGCACAUUCUAGAAAUAAUCAACUUGAUUAAUGGUUUAUAUUCACAUUCUAGCAAUAUAAACAUCUUAUAUUGCCACACAGGGUAAGAGAACAUUUCUCUUCGUAUGUCAUAUUAUAUUGUCAAAUUGUCAAUUUGAAGUGAUUUUUUGUCAAAUAUGUUAUCUAAAUUGACAGUAUAGAUUUCAACAUGAUCAUUUAGAUUAAUGCCUUAGAAAUUUCUUUUUAUUUGUUUUUAUUUUCUUUGUCUUGUGGAACAGUUUGCCAAAACAACAUAUUCAAGAAGAGAUGUCGGGAAAUACUGGAAAAAUGUCAUGAAAGAGCAACCUAUGCCACAGGCAAUUGAAGGCCUCCUUGUUGAUAUUUCUGAUUCAACACCAAAAGAGAAAGCCGACUGCCAUGAAAAAGUGAAAAAACCUUUUGUUGGGGUUGACGUUGAGGUUGAGGAAUUUGAACCAAGGCGAAAUGCUUUGGUUUACAAUGCAGUUGAAGCAAAAGAAGAUAAGCAGCCAUUUGUGAAAGACUUUGAGCCCAGGCCAAAUGCUUUGCUUUACAAUGCAUUUGCAGCAAAAGAAGAUAAGCAGCCAUUUGUGAAAGACUUUGAGCCCAGGCCAAAUGCUUUGCUUUACAAUGCAUUUGCAGCAAAAGAAGAUAAGCAGCCAUUUGUGAAAGACUUUGAGCCCAGGCCAAAUGCUUUGCUUUACAAUGCAUUUGCAGCAAAAGAAGAUAAGCAGCCAUUUGUGAAAGACUUUGAGCCCAGGCCAAAUGCUUUGCUUUACAAUGCAUUUGCAGCAAAAGAAGAUAAGCAGCCAUUUGUGAAAGAUUUUGAGCCCAGGCCAAAUGCUUUGGUUUACAAUGACUAAGAGGUUGAAUUAUUGCAAUUCUGGUGGUGUUAUUGUAAAAUAUAAGCUUGCUGGGCUUGUACGUAGCUUCUAAGCUUCUAUGUACUGAAAAAAAGAAGCCACUGGCUCUGAGAAAAGUCUAUGUUUUAUGUUGUACGUAGCUAGGUCAUGAAUGUAAUUUUCAGUUCUAAGUUAAUAAAAGGAAUGCUUUGGCCACCAUAAAUGUGGUUUUGGCAAUAGUCUCUAUUUUUGUUGUCAUGUAUUUCUAGCGUUGAACUGUAAGAAUAAUAAAU